rnacentral:rRNA from 1 species
AUUGAACGCUGGCGGCAGGCCUAACACAUGCAAGUCGAACGGCAGCACAGAAGAGCUUGCUCUUUGGGUGGCGAGUGGCGGACGGGUGAGUAAUGUCUGGGAAACUGCCCGAUGGAGGGGGAUAACUACUGGAGACGGUAGCUAAUACCGCAUAACGUCGCAAGACCAAAGUGGGGGACCUUCGGGCCUCACACCAUCGGAUGUGCCCAGAUGGGAUUAGCUAGUAGGUGGGGUAAUGGCUCACCUAGGCGACGAUCCCUAGCUGGUCUGAGAGGAUGACCGGCCACACUGGAACUGAGACACGGUCCAGACUCCUACGGGAGGCAGCAGUGGGGAAUAUUGCACAAUGGGCGCAAGCCUGAUGCAGCCAUGCCGCGUGUAUGAAGAAGGCCUUCGGGUUGUAAAGUACUUUCAGCGGGGAGGAAGGCGGUGAGGUUAAUAACCUUGCCGAUUGACGUUACCCGCAGAAGAAGCACCGGCUAACUCCGUGCCAGCAGCCGCCGUAA